rnacentral:rRNA from 1 species
AGAGUUUGAUCCUGGCUCAGAUUGAACGCUGGCGGCAGGCCUAACACAUGCAAGUCGAGCGGUAGAGAGAAGCUUGCUUCUUAUUAGAGCGGCGGACGGGUGAGUAACGCGUGGGAAUCUACCCAGUAGCGGGGGAUAACUUGUGGAAACGCAAGCUAAUACCGCAUACGCCCUAAGGGGGAAAGGAGGGGAUCUUCGGACCUUACACUAUUGGAUGAGCCCGCGUCGGAUUAGCUAGUUGGUGGGGUAAAGGCCCACCAAGGCAACGACGAUCAGUAGCCGGCCUGAGAGGGCGAUCGGCCACACUGGAACUGAGACACGGCCCAGACUCCUACGGGAGGCAGCAGUGGGGAAUAUUGGACAAUGGGCGCAAGCCUGAUCCAGCCAUACCGCGUGUGUGAAGAAGGCUCUAGGGUUGUAAAGCACUUUAAGUUGGGAGGAAAGGGUGAUGAUUAAUACUCGUUAUCUGUGACGUUACCAACAGAAUAAGCACCGGCUAACUCCGUGCCAGCAGCCGCGGUAAUACGGAGGGUGCAAGCGUUAAUCGGAAUUACUGGGCGUAAAGCGCGCGUAGGUGGUUGUGUAAGUGGAAUGUGAAAGCCCUGGGCUCAACCUGGGAACUGCAUACCAAACUGCACAACUAGAGUACGAUAGAGGGGGGUAGAAUUUCAGGUGUAGCGGUGAAAUGCGUAGAGAUCUGAAGGAAUACCGGUGGCGAAGGCGGCCCCCUGGAUUGAUACUGACACUGAGGUGCGAAAGCGUGGGUAGCAAACAGGAUUAGAUACCCUGGUAGUCCACGCCGUAAACGAUGUCUACUAGCCGUUGGAAUCCUUAGAGGUUUAGUGGCGCAGCUAACGCAAUAAGUAGACCGCCUGGGGAGUACGGCCGCAAGGCUAAAACUCAAAUGAAUUGACGGGGGCCCGCACAAGCGGUGGAGCAUGUGGUUUAAUUCGACGCAACGCGAAGAACCUUACCUACUCUUGACAUCCUCGGAACUCGGCAGAGAUGCCUUGGUGCCUUCGGGAACCGAGUGACAGGUGCUGCAUGGCUGUCGUCAGCUCGUGUCGUGAGAUGUUGGGUUAAGUCCCGUAACGAGCGCAACCCUUGUCCUUAUUUGCCAGCACGUAAUGGUGGGAACUCUAAGGAGACUGCCGGUGACAAACCGGAGGAAGGUGGGGACGACGUCAAGUCAUCAUGCCCCUUAUGCCUAGGGCUACACACGUGCUACAAUGGACGGUACAGAGGGCAGCAAGACCGCGAGGGGGAGCCAAUCUCACAAAACCGGUCGUAGUCCGGAUCGGAGUCUGCAACUCGACUCCGUGAAGUUGGAAUCGCUAGUAAUCGUGGAUCAGAAUGCCACGGUGAAUACGUUCCCGGGCCUUGUACACACCGCCCGUCACACCAUGGGAGUGGAUUGCACCAGAAGUAGCUAGCUUAACCUUCGGGAGAGCGGUUACCACGGUGUGGUUCAUGACUGGGGUGAAGUCGUAACAAGGUAGCCCUAGGGGAACCUGGGGCUGGAUCACCUCCUU